rnacentral:rRNA from 1 species
CCUACGGGCCGCACCAGUGGGGAAUUUUCCGCAAUGGGCGAAAGCCUGACGGAGCAAUGCCGCGUGAGUGAAGAAGGCCUUAGGGUUGUAAAGCUCUUUCACCGGUGAAGAUAAUGAUGGUAACCGGAGAAGAAGCCCCGGCUAACUUCGUGCCAGCAGCCGCGGUAAUACGAAGGGGGCUAGCGUUGUUCGGAAUUACUGGGCGUAAAGCGCGCGUAGGCGGAUAGAUAAGUCAGAGGUGAAAUCCCGGGGCUCAACCCCGGAAUUGCCUUUGAUACUGUUUAUCUUGAGUGCAGAAGAGGUAAGUGGAAUUCCCAGUGUAGAGGUGAAAUUCGUAGAUAUUGGGAAGAACACCGGUGGCGAAGGCGGCAACCUGGCUCGAUACUGAUGCUGAGGCGCGAAAGCGUGGGGAGCAAACAGGAUUAGAUACCCGCGUAGUC